GACGAACGCUGGCGGCGUGCUUAACACAUGCAAGUCGAACGGAAAGGCCCUGCUUUUGUGGGGUGCUCGAGUGGCGAACGGGUGAGUAACACGUGAGUAACCUGCCCUUGACUUUGGGAUAACUUCAGGAAACUGGGGCUAAUACCGGAUAGGAGCUCCCGCUGCAUGGUGGGGGUUGGAAAGUUUCGGCGGGUGGGGAUGGACUCGCGGCUUAUCAGCUUGUUGGUGGGGUAGUGGCUUACCAAGGCUUUGACGGGUAGCCGGCCUGAGAGGGUGACCGGCCACAUUGGGCCUGAGAUACGGCCCAGACUCCUACGGGAGGCAGCAGUGGGGAAUAUUGCACAAUGGGCGGAAGCCUGAUGCAGCAACGCCGCGGGCGGGAUGACGGCCUUCGGGUUGUAAACCGCUUUCGCCUGUGACGAAGCGUGAGUGACGGUAAUGGGUAAAGAAGCACCGGCUAACUACGUG
rnacentral:rRNA from 1 species